rnacentral:rRNA from 1 species
UACGUAGGGACCAAGCGUUGUCCGGAAUCAUUGGGCGUAAAGAGCGUGUAGGCGGCUUGUUAAGUCUUGCGUGAAAUCUCGGGGCUCAACCCCGAGCGGUCGUGAGAAACUGGCAGGCUAGAGUGCGGGAGAGGAGAGUGGAAUUCCUGGUGUAGCGGUGAAAUGCGCAGAUAUCAGGAAGAACACCCGUGGCGAAGGCGGGUCUCUGGGCCGAUACUGACGCUGAGGAGCGAAAGCGUGGGGAGCAAACAGG